rnacentral:rRNA from 1 species
CCUACGGGAGGCAGCAGUGAGGAAUAUUGGUCAAUGGGCGGGAGCCUGAACCAGCCAAGUCGCGUGAGGGAAGACGGUCCUAUGGAUUGUAAACCUCUUUAGGCGGGGAGCAAUGCCGGGCACGCGUGCCCGGAGGGAGAGUACCCGCAGAAGAAGCAUCGGCUAACUCCGUGCCAGCAGCCGCGGUAAUACGGAGGAUGCGAGCGUUAUCCGGAUUGAUUGGGUUUAAAGGGAGCGUAGGCGGAUUUUUAAGUCAGCGGUAAAAUGUCCGGGCUCAACCCGGGCCGGCCGUUGAAACUGGGGAUCUUGAGUGGGCGAGCAGUAUGCGGAAUGCGUGGUGUAGCGGUGAAAUGCAUAGAUAUCACGCAGAACUCCGAUUGCGAAGGCAGCAUACCGGCGCCCGACUGACGCUGAGGCACGAAAGCGUGGGGAUCGAACAGGAUUAGAUACCCUUGUAGUC